rnacentral:rRNA from 1 species
UACGGAGGGAGCUAGCGUUGUUCGGAAUUACUGGGCGCAAAGCGCGUGUAGGCGGCUUUGUAAGUUAGAGGUGAAAGCCCGGAGCUCAACUCCGGAACUGCCUUUAAAACUGCAUCGCUUGAAUCCAGGAGAGGUGAGUGGAAUUCCGAGUGUAGAGGUGAAAUUCGUAGAUAUUCGGAAGAACACCAGUGGCGAAGGCGGCUCACUGGACUGGUAUUGACGCUGAGGUGCGAAAGCGUGGGGAGCAAACAGG